UACGGGAGGCAGCAGUGGGGAAUAUUGCACAAUGGGCGCAAGCCUGAUGCAGCGACGCCGCGUGAGGGAUGACGGCCUUCGGGUUGUAAACCUCUUUCAGUAGGGAAGAAGCGAAAGUGACGGUACCUGCAGAAGAAGCACCGGCUAACUACGUGCCAGCAGCCGCGGUAAUACGUAGGGUGCGAGCGUUAUCCGGAAUUAUUGGGCGUAAAGAGCUCGUAGGCGGUUUGUCGCGUCUGUCGUGAAAGUCCGGGGCUUAACCCCGGAUCUGCGGUGGGUACGGGCAGACUAGAGUGCAGUAGGGGAGACUGGGAAUUCCUGGUGUAGCGGUGGAAUGCGCAGAUAUCAGGAGGAACACCGAUGGCGAAGGCAGGUCUCUGGGGCUGUAACUGACGCUGAGGAGCGAAAGCAUGGGGAGCGACAGGGAUUAGAUACC
rnacentral:rRNA from 1 species